AACGAACGCUGGCGGCAGGCCUAACACAUGCAAGUCGAGCGAGACCUUCGGGUCUAGCGGCGGACGGGUGAGUAACGCGUGGGAACGUGCCCUUUGCUACGGAAUAGCCCCGGGAAACUGGGAGUAAUACCGUAUGUGCCCUUCGGGGGAAAGAUUUAUCGGCAAAGGAUCGGCCCGCGUUGGAUUAGGUAGUUGGUGGGGUAAUGGCCUACCAAGCCGACGAUCCAUAGCUGGUAUGAGAGGAUGAUCAGCCACACUGGGACUGAGACACGGCCCAGACUCCUACGGGAGGCAGCAGUGGGGAAUCUUAGACAAUGGGGGAAACCCUGAUCUAGCCAUGCCGCGUGAGCGAUGAAGGCCUUAGGGUUGUAAAGCUCUUUCAGGUGGGAAGAUAAUGACGGUACCACCAGAAGAAGCCCCGGCUAACUCCGUGCCAGCCGCCGCCGUAACAC
rnacentral:rRNA from 1 species